CACACCACAGAGUACCCCCUGUAGAGCUAUAAUGGCACCAAGUGUAAGUGUGAGACAAGCUGGUGGUAGGAUGGGCAAUAAGGUUCCAAAGAGUCUUGGCAAUGUUUUGGGCCAAGAGCACUGUUGUUGCAAACCUUGUAGGUGUGUGUGUGUGUGUGUGUGUGUGUGCCUGCGUACACACAUGCUCACAAGCAUGCUUUCAUGGAAAUGAGUGUGUCUUCUUUUUCUUUUUUUUAAAGUAGGUUUAUUUAUUUUUAUUUUAUGUGCAUUGGUGUUUUGCCUGCAUGUUUGUUUGAUGUUGCCACAUGCCCUGGGAUUGGAACUACAGACAGUUCUGAGCUGCUGUGUAGGUGCUAGGAAUUGAACCCAGGUCCUCUAGGAGAGGACCAGUUGGUUCUCUUAACCACUUAGCCAUGUCUCCAGCCCUGUGAAUGUGUUUUCUAUAUUUCAGUGACACAGGGGUGUGUGUUUAUUCUAUUUCUUGUCAGUUUAAGUCUUUGUGGCCCCUUCAGACAUGUAAAAAUAGAAAAAUAAAAAAUUGUGUACUGUAUCAAGUAACGAUGACUGAUUGAUUGUCUUAGUUACUUUUCCUAGAUAGCAGUGAAAACACACAUGCAUGCAUGCGUGUGUGCAUUCGAGAGUGCACAUGGACACACACACACAUACACACAACACACAACACACAACACAAGCAACUCAAGUAAAGAGGAAGGGUUGAUUGGUCUCACAGUUCCAGGGGAGUAGUGAAGGCAGGAGUUUGGUACAGGUGGGUCUCUGCAUCCACAGUCAGAAGGCAGAAAGCUGGGGAUGUUUGUACUCAGAUCACUUUCUCAUGUUUAUAUGGUUCAGGACCAAAGCCUAGGGAAUAGUGCUGCCCACAGUACCCGGAUAUUCCCACCUCACUUAAACUAAUCAAGAGAAUCACCUACAAGCAGGCCUAGAGGCCUAUCUCCCAGAUGAUUCUAGAUCUUAUCCAGGUCAUAUUUGAGAAUGACCAGAAACUGAGACUUUUCAUGAAAAUUAUUUUGUAUAAUUCUACAUUUGUUUACGUGUACUCUGAACAUGAUCCCUGCUUUGUGAGAAUGGCAAACAAGCAAAAAAACAAGGAAUAGUUUUUUUUAAUUAUGAGAAAAGAUUUGCUCUUUGCAGCAAGUCUAGUUCCCAGUUGCUUUUAAUGAUCUUAGUUUUAGUGUACCGGUAAAUCUGAGGAUUGAGAAAAUUAUUGGGAUGAUAUAAAUAAAAAGUUACUUUGGUUUACAUGAUGUUAAAAACAAAAAAAAAAAUGAUUUUGUCUUUGUUGAUCUUAGUUGCUUCUCUAACUUUUUUCUUUAAAAC
rnacentral:lncRNA from 1 species